UACGUAGGGUGCGAGCGUUAAUCGGAAUUACUGGGCGUAAAGCGUGCGUAGGUGGUUCGUUGUGUCUGUGGUGAAAGCCCCGGGCUUAACCUGGGAAUGGCAUUUGGGACUGCAAGGCUUGAGUGCGGCAGAGGAGACUAGAAUUCCUGGUGUAGCAGUGAAAUGCGUAGAUAUCAGGAGGAAUACCGAUGGCGAAGGCAGGUCUCUGGGCUGACACUGACGCUGAGGAGCGAAAGCGUGGGGAGCGAACAGG
rnacentral:rRNA from 1 species